AACGAACGCUGGCGGCAUGCCUAACACAUGCAAGUCGAACGAACCCUUCGGGGUUAGUGGCGCACGGGUGCGUAACGCGUGGGAAUCUGCCCUUUGCUUCGGAAUAACUCAGGGAAACUUGUGCUAAUACCGGUUGAUGUCUUCGGACCAAAGAUUUAUCGGCAAGGGAUGAGCCCGCGUAGGAUUAGGUAGUUGGUGGGGUAAAGGCCUACCAAGCCGACGAUCCUUAGCUGGUCUGAGAGGAUGAUCAGCCACACUGGGACUGAGACACGGCCCAGACUCCUACGGGAGGCAGCAGUGGGGAAUAUUGGACAAUGGGCGCAAGCCUGAUCCAGCAAUGCCGCGUGAGUGAUGAAGGCCCUCGGGUCGUAAAGCUCUUUUACCAGGGAUGAUAAUGACAGUACCUGGAGAAUAAGCUCCGGCUAACUCCGUG
rnacentral:rRNA from 1 species